rnacentral:tRNA from 1 species
GGGGAUAUAGUUCAGUUGGUAGAAUGAUGCCUUGCAUGCACAAGGCCCUGGGUUCAAUCCCCAGCCCCA